rnacentral:rRNA from 1 species
AAAUUCCAAUCGAACCUGGAGAUAGCUGGUUCUCUCCGAAAUAGCUUUAGGGCUAGCCUCAAGUGAUGAUUAUUGGAGGUAGAGCACUGUUUGGACGAGGGGCCCCUCUCGGGUUACCGAAUUCAGACAAACUCCGAAUGCCAAUUAAUUUAACUUGGGAGUCAGAACAUGGGUGAUAAGGUCCGUGUUCGAAAGGGAAACAGCCCAGACCACCAGCUAAGGUCCCAAAAUAUAUGUUAAGUGGAAAAGGAUGUGGCGUUGCCCAGACAACUAGGAUGUUGGCUUAGAAGCAGCCAUCAUUUAAAGAGUGCGUAAUAGCUCACUAGUCGAGUGACACUGCGCCGAAAAUGUACCGGGGCUAAACAUAUUACCGAAGCUGUGGAUUGUCCUUUGGACAAUGGUAGGAGAGCGUUCUAAGGGCGUUGAAGCAUGAUCGUAAGGACAUGUGGAGCGCUUAGAAGUGAGAAUGCCGGUGUGAGUAGCGAAAGACGGGUGAGAAUCCCGUCCACCGAUUGACUAAGGUUUCCAGAGGAAGGCUCGUCCGCUCUGGGUUAGUCGGGUCCUAAGCUGAGGCCGACAGGCGUAGGCGAUGGAUAACAGGUUGAUAUUCCUGUACCACCUAUAAUCGUUUUAAUCGAUGGGGGGACGCAGUAGGAUAGGCGAAGCGUGCGAUUGGAUUGCACGUCUAAGCAGUAAGGCUGAGUAUUAGGCAAAUCCGGUACUCGUUAAGGCUGAGCUGUGAUGGGGAGAAGACAUUGUGUCUUCGAGUCGUUGAUUUCACACUGCCGAGAAAAGCCUCUAGAUAGAAAAUAGGUGCCCGUACCGCAAACCGACACAGGUAGUCAAGAUGAGAAUUCUAAGGUGAGCGAGCGAACUCUCGUUAAGGAACUCGGCAAAAUGACCCCGUAACUUCGGGAGAAGGGGUGCUCUUUAGGGUUAACGCCCAGAAGAGCCGCAGUGAAUAGGCCCAAGCGACUGUUUAUCAAAAACACAGGUCUCUGCUAAACCGUAAGGUGAUGUAUAGGGGCUGACGCCUGCCCGGUGCUGGAAGGUUAAGAGGAGUGGUUAGCUUCUGCGAAGCUACGAAUCGAAGCCCCAGUAAACGGCGGCCGUAACUAUAACGGUCCUAAGGUAGCGAAAUUCCUUGUCGGGUAAGUUCCGACCCGCACGAAAGGCGUAACGAUUUGGGCACUGUCUCAACGAGAGACUCGGUGAAAUCAUAGUACCUGUGAAGAUGCAGGUUACCCGCGACAGGACGGAAAGACCCCGUGGAGCUUUACUGUAGCCUGAUAUUGAAAUUCGGCACAGCUUGUACAGGAUAGGUAGGAGCCUUUGAAACGUGAGCGCUAGCUUACGUGGAGGCGCUGGUGGGAUACUACCCUAGCUGUGUUGGCUUUCUAACCCGCACCACUUAUCGUGGUGGGAGACAGUGUCAGGCGGGCAGUUUGACUGGGGCGGUCGCCUCCUAAAAGGUAACGGAGGCGCUCAAAGGUUCCCUCAGAAUGGUUGGAAAUCAUUCAUAGAGUGUAAAGGCAUAAGGGAGCUUGACUGCGAGACCUACAAGUCGAGCAGGGUCGAAAGACGGACUUAGUGAUCCGGUGGUUCCGCAUGGAAGGGCCAUCGCUCAACGGAUAAAAGCUACCCCGGGGAUAACAGGCUUAUCUCCCCCAAGAGUUCACAUCGACGGGGAGGUUUGGCACCUCGAUGUCGGCUCAUCGCAUCCUGGGGCUGUAGUCGGUCCCAAGGGUUGGGCUGUUCGCCCAUUAAAGCGGUACGCGAGCUGGGUUCAGAACGUCGUGAGACAGUUCGGUCCCUAUCCGUCGUGGGCGUAGGAAAUUUGAGAGGAGCUGUCCUUAGUACGAGAGGACCGGGAUGGACAUACCUCUGGUGUACCAGUUGUCGUGCCAACGGCAUAGCUGGGUAGCUAUGUGUGGACGGGAUAAGUGCUGAAAGCAUCUAAGCAUGAAGCCCCCCUCAAGAUGAGAUUUCCCAACUUCGGUUAUAAGAUCCCUCAAAGAUGAUGAGGUUAAUAGGUUCGAGGUGGAAGUAUGGUGACAUGUGGAGCUGACGAAUACUAAUCGAUCGAAGACUUAAUCAA